AUCCUGUUUUUCCUCUGUGGAGUUGAGAGUCAUUUAUAUGUUCUCAGUCCACUUCCCAUCCAGGUCCAAACCUGCUCAUCUUCAGAGAUGGACCACAAUUCAUGGUUUCAGGGCCAGGACAAGACAUUUUGGCACCUGAGGUGAACCACAAAAUAGCACACACACAUGCCAGGGAAGAAGAUCUAUAUCAGGGACAAUCCAAUCCAAAUAACAUUAUUGUACUAGCCACUGGCCAUGAGAAAUCUGAAUCAAAAAUGAAUACAAGCAAAAGGGAUGUUGUGCCACAAAUAAUAGUCUCUAUUGAGAUCUCUGCGUUUCCCUUACAGUUCAGUGCUAUAUUGUUCAGGGUCUUCUUUCUGAUCUUUUUGGCUGCCAAAGCAAAAAAGUGACUUCGUGAGUCACUGAUACAUUUACAUUGCUAAGAAGCCAUAGGACCUUCUCUGCCAGGGAGAGACAUCUUUCCUGUAUGGAUGGAUGGUAGGGCAAGAAAUUGCCUGGGUCCAAUGUAUAGCGGGCAAUAUAGUAAAUAGUGCAAGAUGUCUUCCACGUGCGUUGCCCACAUAUACAGAAUCUGUGUUUGUAUGGUACCCUGUGGUAUUGUCUGUCUAGGAUGGGGAAGAGAGUAGCUUGAAAACGCCGCUCUGUAAAAGUGAAUCUUAGUGACGCUGGCUGGAGAUUCGGCCGGUAACUGGUUCUAAAAUGAACCGUUUUUAGUAGGGGGAACAGGGGAGAGCAUUUAGAUGAUUUGGUUGCUUUCAGAUCACGUAGUGAUUCUGUCCAGUGACACCAAUCCCUUAAUGAUAAUUUGUCUGUGUAUAUAAUCUCCUCUAGCUCGUGGAAAUAAUAAGAGUUGAAGUUACGUUGGAUAUUAGAUUGACACCAUCGGUUGUUCUCCAAUUCCGCAUAGCACCAGGCUGGCAAGCGCUCGCAUGGCAUGGAGGACAGUCUUUUCAGGUAAUUAAAUCAGCUGUACAGUCAGCUGUACCAGAGAGAAUAAAGAUCUACAUUGGGAAGCCCGUCCUCUUCGCAGUUUUGACUUCUGGAUCCUUGAGUCACCUAGUAGCUCUCUGUUGAAUCCUUCCCAGCUUGUCCCACAGUAUACUUGGAACUGUGCUGUGCAGCGUCAAUCGCAUAACUCCCAAGAGAUGUCUCCUUCCCAAAGCCCAGCAGCUGAUAACCAGGUACUGUGCUGUGCAGAGUCGAUCUGAAACAUUUCCAAUGGGCACGUGUAUAUAUUGGUGAAAAUCUCGCUUCCGUAUCCUGCCUUUCCCAAACCCCACCUCCUGCUCUGUAUAGUUUCUCCUCCCUCCCUUCACUUCCCCAAACUCCAUAAAGUCUCCCAUUGCACAUCUGAGCUCAGCUAAGCUGGCCUCGAGUGCUCUAGGGGUCAAAGGGUCGCUGUGGAGGCAGUGGGGGUCAGUGUAUAGCCAUCCCCGGGUCAAUAGGCAACAGAUCACACUCCGAUUCCAAAUCGGGACUUAAAGAAGACAGAGAAAUGGGGGAAUCCAUUCAAGCUAAUAACAACCUUGUCAAUCAAAACAGGCAUGAGAAAUAUUGAGGGAGGAAAGAAAGAAAGAAAGAAAGAAAGAGGAGGAAGCCAUACCCUAAGCAGAGUGGGACAAGAUGAGAUUCUGCCCAGAAAUACACCCAUUCUCUUCCCACCACCAUUUCAAAACUUUAAAGAGAAUUCUCAACAAUAUCUUGCAAUAUUCUCCCCCCGCCAUUUUAUUUUAAAAGCUGCACACAAGCACCUAAAAAGAAACCAAGGCACAAAGCCUCAGUUAACUGGAGUGGAUACAGCAACAAAGUACAUUCUGAAUAUAAGAAAUUGGGAGUGGUGGAUGGGAGAGAAUACCGUUGUGAUGAAAGGAAUAUUCCCUUAUGACAAUUGAACAUAUGGUUUAGAAAACUUCUAAACUGUCUUCCCACCCAACCAGAUGUAGGCAGUCAAGAAUCCUGGACGAAGAUGGAAGGGCGUUUUCACAAGUGAUGCAAACAUCUGGGGCAGCAAGUUCCAUUUGUUCAUCAAAUUAAGAAGCAAGGUCUGUGUGAAAGCACUUGCAGAGACACAUCUGUGUACGGAUCUAAAUUUUCAUGAUGGAAAUAAUAAAAAGGCACCAUCCAUCUGGAAGUUCUCCUGCAAAAGCUCAACUGAAAUGAAUGGGAGUUGUGUGCAGGAGUGUGCCUGCUCAGGAGAACUCUCUAGCAGACUGGGCCCAAGGUUCAAUAAGAAAAUUAACAGGGUGUCGGGGGGGGGAGGAAUACAUUUUCAUCUGGACUGUCUCAGUAUGCAAAGUUGAGGAAUACUACCUCUGAAGUGAAUGUAUUUUCUAGUCUAUAUAAGUUUUUCAUUUUACGUACAGACAUGGGAAAUAUGAAAACAAAGAGCCCCAAGGCGAUCUAACGUGUCUCUUGUGAAUGCAACCCAGGUAGUGGAGAGCGAUCAGGACACUUUUAGGAUUCUGUUGUAAUUCAAGUUAUGGAACAAAGAUAACUUGUUAAAAUCAAAUUGAUGAUCUCAAUGGAAUAAAAUGCCUUAGACAUUU